rnacentral:rRNA from 1 species
UACGUAGGGUGCGAGCGUUAAUCGGAAUUACUGGGCGUAAAGCGUGCGCAGGCGGUUUUGUAAGCCAGAUGUGAAAUCCCCGGGCUUAACCUGGGAAUGGCAUUUGGGACUGCAAGGCUGGAGUGCGGCAGAGGAGACUGGAAUUCCUGGUGUAGCAGUGAAAUGCGUAGAUAUCAGGAGGAAUACCGAUGGCGAAGGCAGGUCUCUGGGCUGACACUGACGCUCAUGCACGAAAGCGUGGGGAGCAACAGAUGAUA